UUAAAUCAAAUUUGUAUGGAUUUGGAACGUUUGUUUGCGUUUACCGCUAGGGGCGCUGUUCCAACUACAUACAAAGGACA
rnacentral:pre_miRNA from 1 species